rnacentral:rRNA from 1 species
AUUCCAGCUCCAAUAGCGUAUAUUAAAGUUGUUGCAGUUAAAAAGCUCGUAGUUGGAGUUCAGAGUGAGCUCAGCCGGUCGGCCUCAUGGGUCAGAACUGGUCGACUCUCUCUUGUUUGUGGAUCCCGUCCGGAGUUAACUCUUCGGAAUGUGGAGUUCACAUCGUUUACCUUGAAAAAAUUAGAGUGUUCAAAGCAGGCGUUUGCUUGAAUAUAUUAGCAUGGAAUAAUGGAAUAGGACCCUGGUUCUAUUUUGUUGGUUUUGAGAACCAGAGUAAUGAUUAAUAGGGAUAGUUGGGGGCAUUCAUAUUUCAUUGUCAGAGGUGAAAUUCUUGGAUUUAUGAAAGAUGAACUUCUGCGAAAGCAUUUGCCAAGGAUGUUUUCAUCA